CACUCCUACGGGAGGCAGCAGUGGGGAAUUUUGGACAAUGGGGGCAACCCUGAUCCAGCAAUGCCGCGUGAGUGAAGAAGGCCUUCGGGUUGUAAAGCUCUUUUGUCAGGGAAGAAACGGUGGUGGCGAAUAACUACUACUAAUGACGGUACCUGAAGAAUAAGCACCGGCUAACUACGUGCCAGCAGCCGCGGUAAUACGUAGGGUGCAAGCGUUAAUCGGAAUUACUGGGCGUAAAGCGUGCGCAGGCGGUUGUGUAAGUCAGAUGUGAAAUCCCCGGGCUCAACCUGGGAAUUGCAUUUGAGACUGCACGGCUAGAGUGUGUCAGAGGGGGGUAGAAUUCCACGUGUAGCAGUGAAAUGCGUAGAUAUGUGGAGGAAUACCGAUGGCGAAGGCAGCCCCCUGGGAUAACACUGACGCUCAUGCACGAAAGCGUGGGGAGCAAACAGGAUUAGAUACCCGAGUAGUCCCAUG
rnacentral:rRNA from 1 species